rnacentral:rRNA from 1 species
AGUGAACGCUGGCGGUAGGCCUAACACAUGCAAGUCGAACGGCAGCACAGUAAGAGCUUGCUCUUACGGGUGGCGAGUGGCGGACGGGUGAGGAAUACAUCGGAGUCUACUUUUUCGUGGGGGAUAACGUAGGGAAACUUACGCUAAUACCGCAUACGACCUACGGGUGAAAGCAGGGGAUCUUCGGACCUUGCGCGAUUGAAUGAGCCGAUGUCGGAUUAGCUAGUUGGCGGGGUAAAGGCCCACCAAGGCGACGAUCCGUAGCUGGUCUGGGAGGAUGAUCAGGCACACUAGAACUGAGACACGGUCCAGACCCCUACGGGAGGCAGCCGUGGGGAAUAUUGGACAAUGGGCGCAAGCCUGAUCCAGCCAUACCGCGUGGGUGAAGAAGGCCUUUGGGUUUUUAAGCCCUUUUUGUUGGAAAGAAAAGCAGCAGGUUAAUACCCCGCUGUUCUGACGGUACCCAAAGAAUAAGCACCGGCUAACUUCGUG